GUGUUACCGGUGGAUCACGUGGCUAGUGUGUCGAUGAAGAGUGCAGCCAACUGUGUGAAUUAAUGCGAAUUGCUUACUGCUUUGAACAUCGACUUCUUGAACGCAUAUUGCGGCUACGGGGUAUCUCGUGGCCACGCCUGUCCGAGGGUUGGCUUUU
rnacentral:rRNA from 1 species